rnacentral:rRNA from 1 species
CCCGUUGUACACACCGCCCGUCACACCAUGGAAGCAAGCAACACCCGAAGCCGGUGGCCUAACCCCUUGUGGGAGGGAGCCGUCGAAGGUGGGGCUCGUGACUGGGGUG